rnacentral:tRNA from 1 species
CCAUACUCUUAAAUGAAUAACUGGUAGUCCAGCCAAGCGCACGAAGAUGGGGACCCUCACCAUCGGACAAAACGAGGGUACUAAGC